CACAGUUUGACAACAUUCAGAAACGUUGCUUGGUUGUGACAAGGAGUCUGCUCAUCUAGAGUCAGUCUAAAGCUGUCAAAAUCAAUCAAAUCUGAAUUUAUGAACUCAGUUCACCUAACACUCCUCAAGCAAAACAUGAGAUGUUUGACACAGGGCACAUUAAACAGAACAAAUAAGGAGUAAAUAACAUAGAAAAUGAAAAUAGAACUUUAUUGUGUUGUCACAGCCUUCACAUAAACCAUAAGUAUCUCACUGAUGUUUGCUGUGCCUCACGGACAGGUUAGGUGAAUGACUGGAGCACUCUUAAAGCACUCUUACCUCCUCCCAGGUAAGAGUGCUUAACUCUGAUUCUAACACUCACCCACUCCUCCCAGGUAAGAGUGCUUUACUCUGAUUCUAACACUAACCCACUCCGCCCAGGUAAGAGUGCUUUACUCUGAUUCUAACACUCACCCACUCCUCCCAGGUAAGAGUGCUUUACUCUGAUUCUAACACUCACCCACUCCUCCCAGGUAAGAGUGCUUUACUCUGAUUCUAACACUCACCCACUCCUCCCAGGUAAGGAGAUAUGGAGUUCCACACUCCGAUGCUCCCCAGUCGAAGACGCUGGCCGAUAGCCAGCUCCAGGUAGAGGAG